CAUUAAAACUUAUCGAUUGUCUUUCAGAAAGCGACGCACUAGCCAGGAAUGAUGUAGGAUUCCGAAAAAUUUCUCUCUUUCUUCAGAACUGCGAUGGGAAAUGAAAAAUUUUUGCCAAUCUGGUUAGAUAGAAAAGUUUUCGAAUAGAAUCCUUACAUUGAAACAGAGACAGAAACGUUGGUUUUUGAAGUGAAGAAAAUUCUGGAAACAAAGAAGAGUAAAUCCUAUAAAGAAAGAUUCUUUCGAGAUUACAACGGGAUUAUGGCAAGAAAUGAACGACAAUGAAAAACUUCUGGAAACAAGAAGCGAUCAUCGAUUAUUAAAAGUAGCAUUUACACUAAUCUUGUAUUUGUUGCAUGGUUGAAUGUCUGGUAUUGCUGUUCAAAAGAUAUUUAUUUGCAUAUAUCCCACUAAAAGAUUAAAUGUCCUCAUGUUCAAAGGUAAAAAGUUUAAUUUGAAAAAAGAUGUAAAAAUUUCCAAAUUGUUUUCAAGGUUGUAUAAUCUAAGUUUUCCCAAACCGUGAAUAUAUAUUAAAGAGAUUCCACUAUAACGUCAGAGAUCGUCAAAAGUGCAAACCUAAAUGUUCUGUGAUUAAAUCGCAGCAAAAUAGUACCGCUUUUGCUUUUUUAUAAAGAGCGUACUGAGGCAAAAAGUUUAAUGUGUCUUUUAUAGUUUUUUCCUUAUAAUUUGUUUUCCUUUUUUUCUAUAAUUUUUCUGGUUAUUUUCUUUUUGUCCUGUUCUUUAUUUUUUUUUCAAUUGAAUUUACAAUAUCCUAUGUAAAAUGUUUGGUAUUUAUUUAAAAAUUUUAUAAUUUACUUGAAAGAGUUUUCGAUGAUUUUUGAAAGAUUUGAAAUGAUUGAAAGAUUUCCUUUUAUCAAUCUCAUAUGUUUAAGAAAACAAAAAUAAUUUUCCGUUACUACUAAAAGAAAAUUAUGAUUUCAUUUCAAAACUUUUACUAUUAUAUUGUAGAAUAUAAUGCAUAGACAUGUGUCACAUUCACCUUUUAUAGUUUUAAAUUAGUAGGUGAAUAAAUACGUAUAAGUAUUGUUUCUUAUAUUUACUGCAUCCAGUCUUUUAGAUUAUUUAUUUAUAUAAGUUUUAAUUUAAACAGAAAGGAAAUUAACAGGAUUUUAUAUAAAUAACCGAAGCACUAAAUUGCUUGCUCUUCAAAUUCAUAGUUUAUACCGAACAUUCCAUUUAAAAUAAAUAUCAAGUUCUAUCAAAAUUAAGGCAAAGCGAAACCAUAGAAAAUGCGUUUCUUUGACGUCACAGUGGUAUAUUCUUAACACUAGUAAAUGGUUUAAUUUCUGUGUUAAGCAAUUAAUAAAACUAGGAUUGACAUUUAUGUAUUUGUAAUAUUUUUCAUUCUUGUUAAUUGCAUUAUACUUUAUCGCACAGAUUUCACUGUAUAGUAUUUUAUUGAAUAACAAUGUAUUAAACUGCAUUAUCUCCUCC